rnacentral:lncRNA from 1 species
CCGUUUGGUAUCAUUUUCAAGGGCUUAUUUUCAUUUUCGUUUUUGGAGUUUAAAUGUAAUACCCGUUUGGUACGCUGAAUUCAAAAAUAAACUGUAAAACAAAUAAUUCAGAUUUCCAUUUACAGUUAUAAAAUUGAGAACGUGUUUAACACGUUCUCAGUGAAUCACAAACCAAAUUUUAGAAUAAAUCGCAAAACAAAACCCGAUCAAAAUACACCUUUCUCUCAUCUCUCUCAUCCACAGCUCUCUUUCUCUUCGUGACAGUUCUCCAACCAAAAUCAGCUACUGUUACUGCGUCUCAGCUCCAUCUCGACUAGUGGUGGUGGUGGUGGUGCGUCUCUGCUCUGCUUCGGCCAUGGUGGAUCGACUGAUACUGCUGUAUCUCUGUUGAGGAUUGAUUGGUGCUGCUGCUGUUGCGUCUCGGCUCCGUCCCGACUGGUGGUGGUGCGGCCGUUGCUGCUGCAUCUCUGCUCUGCUUUAGGGAGGGCUUAAUUUCAUUUUCUGCUUAACCGAUCGAAUCUAUUUUUCGUUUUGAAUGAUUGCUCGAAGCAUGCCUUCGAUUUUGCAUUUAAUUGGGCAAACAAAACAAAAAAAAAAAUUUAUGGAUUCAUUCGUCAUUUUCACAUGGAUUGAGAUUGACCAUUACAUUUCUUAUUAUUUGUUGGCAGUACAUUAUAAUGAUGACACAUAUAUAAAUCAUAUAAUUAACAUUAUAUUAAUAAUAAAUUUAUACCUAAUAAUAAUAUUGAUACCAAUUAACAUUUUAUAUCAAUUUUUAAAAAUUUUAAAAUUAACAAUUUUUGGGCAAACUAACAAUUGUUAAAAAAAGAACAAAAAGUUACUGAUUAGAUAGAGUUGCUUAAUGCGCAUGG